AUUGAACGCUGGCGGCAGGCCUAACACAUGCAAGUCGAACGGUAACAGGAAACAGCUUGCUGUUUCGCUGACGAGUGGCGGACGGGUGAGUAAUGUCUGGGAAACUGCCUGGUGGAGGGGGAUAACUACUGGAAACGGUAGCUAAUACCGCAUAACGUCGCAAGACCAAAGAGGGGGACCCUCGGGCCUCUUGCCAUCGGAUGUGCCCAGAUGGGAUUAGCUUGUUGGUGGGGUAACGGCUCACCAAGGCGACGAUCCCUAGCUGGUCUGAGAGGAUGACCAGCCACACUGGAACUGAGACACGGUCCAGACUCCUACGGGAGGCAGCAGUGGGGAAUAUUGCACAAUGGGCGCAAGCCUGAUGCAGCCAUGCCGCGUGUAUGAAGAAGGCCUUCGGGUUGUAAAGUACUUUCAGCGGGGAGGAAGGGAGUAAAGUUAAUACCUUUGCUCAUUGACGUUACCCGCAGAAGAAGCACCGGCUAACUCCGUG
rnacentral:rRNA from 1 species